rfam:Camelus ferus unplaced genomic scaffold scaffold606, whole genome shotgun sequence.
GCGGGUAUAGCUUAGUGGUAGAGCAUCGGCUUGGCACGCAUGAGGUCUUGGGUUCAAUCCCCAGUGUCUCCA